rnacentral:rRNA from 1 species
GGAGCUUGCUCCCGGAUGUUAGCGGCGGACGGGUGAGUAACACGUGGGUAACCUGCCUGUAAGACUGGGAUAACUCCGGGAAACCGGAGCUAAUACCGGAUAGUUCCUUGAACCGCAUGGUUCAAGGAUGAAAGACGGUUUCGGCUGUCACUUACAGAUGGACCCGCGGCGCAUUAGCUAGUUGGUGAGGUAACGGCUCACCAAGGCGACGAUGCGUAGCCGACCUGAGAGGGUGAUCGGCCACACUGGGACUGAGACACGGCCCAGACUCCUACGGGAGGCAGCAGUAGGGAAUCUUCCGCAAUGGACGAAAGUCUGACGGAGCAACGCCGCGUGAGUGAUGAAGGUUUUCGGAUCGUAAAGCUCUGUUGUUAGGGAAGAACAAGUGCAAGAGUAACUGCUUGCACCUUGACGGUACCUAACCAGAAAGCCACGGCUAACUACGUGCCAGCAGCCGCGGUAAUACGUAGGUGGCAAGCGUUGUCCGGAAUUAUUGGGCGUAAAGGGCUCGCAGGCGGUUUCUUAAGUCUGAUGUGAAAGCCCCCGGCUCAACCGGGGAGGGUCAUUGGAAACUGGGAAACUUGAGUGCAGAAGAGGAGAGUGGAAUUCCACGUGUAGCGGUGAAAUGCGUAGAGAUGUGGAGGAACACCAGUGGCGAAGGCGACUCUCUGGUCUGUAACUGACGCUGAGGAGCGAAAGCGUGGGGAGCG